ensembl:lncRNA
UGGGGCUGCGUGGUCAGGCAGUGCGGCGCUGCUGCACAGAUUCCUGAGACAUCAGACAUUCUGGUGUUGGUGGGGCCAGCGGCUGCAGCCUGUGCCUCACGCAUGACCCCCCCCCGCCCCCCCUCAAGGUCAGCAGAGUCUUAAGAGAGGUGCGAGGGAACAAGCAGUGAGAAAUCUCGGAGAAAAAGGAAAUCUUGUCCACUGUUCAGGAAAAUCAACAGCGCUGGAGACACCAGGACACUUGGCACCACACUGACGUGACCCAAAAUUCGACCCUGCGGGACGCCAGUGACGGUCUGACAUGAAAGAUGAGGCGCAGAGGAGGACAUCAUCAACAGGCGGCGGGGAAACAAAGCUCCAGCUAAUCGCUGCUUCCUACAAAACUACAUCUGUAAAGUUACUUUUAACCCGAGAAACAAGCAAGACCAAAUAGCGAAACAGAGUAAAGACUCUUACACAGUCAAUUCAUGCUGUAGACGUGUUUUGUUCCUCACAAAAUUAACCUCUUUGAACCUUAACCAAUUAUUUUUACCAAGCAGGGAAGAGCAGCUUAAGACAACUUCAGGCACUUGCGUAACAAACUACAAGAAGAAACAGAUCUGCGCGCAUUUCCCCCCCUGGUAACCGUCCAAUAUUGAGGCUUCUUCAUGCCUCUGCUCUCGCUGUCUGCAAUGAGCGUCUGUGUACAUAGUUCUCCUGCACUUGGAUGCCCUUGCCACUCUGGGU